UGGGCCUGGGCCUAGCUGUGAACCUCUCACAGCGAAGUCCUGAAUACGUCACGUAGAAGCUGUGCUGGUCUCCCAAAAACACAGAGAGGAAAGAGAAAAAGUUCUCUUAGAUUCUGGGAUAUCAAAACUAGAUUUUUAUGAGCUGCCUGCUAAGCUAUUGGUUGGUAUUAGGGGGAUUGAUUCAACCAGAGUCUCAUGAGGGUUUUGCUCCAUGGAGGAAAAUCAUCACAGCAAGGAACUACAUUAUCUCUAUGUGACUUGGUGGCAAAACAGCUUCAUCCACUGGAAAUAAGGGGGUGUAAAGAGCGUCAGUCCUUGUCAUUGCAGCUUACGGAGAACCCUGGAAGAGUAACUUUUUCCUCCCUGAAAUGAGCCUGUAUUCUUUGGAGAAGAAUGGGGAAGAAAAGUCUCAAAUAAAUGGAUGUAAUUGCCUUCAUUAAAAGCUGGCUGAACAGACUU